GUGCUCACUUUGGCAGCACAAACUCUAAAUUGGGAUGAUACAGAGGUGAUUAGCAUGACCCCUGUGCAAGGAGGACAUACAGGUUUGUGACGUGUUCCAUUUUUUA
ensembl:snRNA U6 U6 spliceosomal RNA